CGCCGUCAAUCAACCGCCUCAUAUAUAGUGCAUGCAGGAAAAUGUGGAGCACUUCAAUAACUUGUGUGUGUGUUUGUGUAUGUGUGUGCGUGCGUGCGUGUGUUUGUGCAUGGGGGCGCGUGCGCAGAGUGGGGGGUUUGGAUGCGAGCGGGAAUGUCGGUUCUUGUUUAUCUAUGUGGCCGUGCAGAAGGCGCGAGAGAGAGGGAGGGAGGUAUGCAGGGAAAACAAGAGAAGAGAGAGAAUAGUGAGGCAAACUCCUGGCCGAGGUCCCACUAGCAGCAGGCAGAACGGACUGAAAUGUGUCAGGAUUGUCUACGUCUGCGUGUGUGUCAGUGUGUGUGUCUGGGGGAGACGGUGUGCUCAACCCAUUUCACCCACAACUUUUCAGUCUAUAUUUCACCCCCGAAUAUGGAAGCGUUUCCCCUUUUCUACUAUCCAGCCACCUCGUAUUCUUGUUGCCAACUUUUUGGUCAUGCUGCUGGUUCAGGUCGCAUGGGCAGCAAUCUCAGUAGAGAAGCCCAGACUUCCCAGACCCCCGUAACAUACUCCAAUUCGACCGGGCAGGACGUUGAAGCGUUCCCAGGCUUGCUGCGACAGAUAAACCCUCCAGCAUGUCCGAGGUCUCCUCCCUGAGUCUCCACCCGGUUCAGCAUUGCCCAAUCACUACGGGAGGCAGAACAAUAGGGUUGUGUGCUGUCAGGUUCUGCACUACAGGAGGAGCAAAUGCAGACUGCAGGCUGUGAGGCCAAUAUUUGAACAGCGCUACAGCAAUACUCUCAUUAAGGCAAG